UUGAACGCUGGCGGCAUGCCUUACCCCUGCAAGUCGAACGGCAGCACGGGUGCUUGCACCUGGUGGCGAGUGGCGAACGGGUGAGUAAUACAUCGGAACAUGUCCUGUAGUGGGGGAUAGCCCGGCGAAAGCCGGAUUAAUACCGCAUACGAUCUACGGAUGAAAGCGGGGGACCUUCGGGCCUCGCGCUAUAGGGUUGGCCGAUAGCUGAUUAGCUAGUUGGUGGGGUAAAGGCCUACCAAGGCGACGAUCAGUAGCUGGUCUGAGAGGACGACCAGCCACACUGGGACUGAGACACGGCCCAGACUCCUACGGGAGGCAGCAGUGGGGAAUUUUGGACAAUGGGCGAAAGCCUGAUCCAGCAAUGCCGCGUGUGUGAAGAAGGCCUUCGGGUUGUAAAGCACUUUUGUCCGGAAAGAAAUCCUUGGCUCUAAUACAGUCGGGGGAUGACGGUACCGGAAGAAUAAGCACCGGCUAACUACGUG
rnacentral:rRNA from 1 species